rnacentral:lncRNA from 1 species
AAUUGCCCAGGCAGGCUGGGUUAUGUUGGAGGAAUUGGGGAACUUGAGGAUAAUGCUCUAUUAUAGAUUCAGAAUCGAGAUGCGCCGGAGUGGGCCAUCUCUUGAUAGAGCAAAGAUCCAAAUGUGAUUUGAACACUCACGAUGAAGCGAUGCACAAUGAUAUUGCCUUCAAGCAAGGUUGGUAAUCGAAUUGUAAUACCCUGAGGGGAAAGUAAAUGCAAAGAAAAGUUCUUGCAUGUCAAGUGGUGAAUGGUGUUGGAGCACAUGGUGUCGUUGAGUUUCAACUUGCGCUACCACCAAGAAUGACAGAGACCCGUAAUGCACUUUUGGACUUACACACAGUAAAUGUGAGUGAAUCUAGUCUCACGUCCUCCGUAGUGGGCCUUUGGAUAGUUCCAAUGAGCGAAAGGCCACUCCGAGAUGCAAAAGUGCAUUGUACCCC